CAACUUUAACAUUCUAAUGACCAGUAAUUAUCAAUGCAUCUUGAUUGCAUCUUUGAUCAAUUUCAGGCUGCAGAAGUUGUUUAAAAUCUUCAAUUUCUUUAUCUUUGGCAUUAGUGGUUGGUGCAUAAAUUUGAAUAGUCAUAUAAACUAGUCUUCCUUGUAAGUGUAUGGAUUUUAGCCUAUCAGUGACAACAUUGUACUUCAGGCUAGAUCUUGAAAUGUUCUCUUUGAUGAUAUGUAACGUCAUUCUUUUGACUCUGGUGGAAUAUCCAUGUUUGUAAGACUGCUCACAGACUGUUUUACCAGAGAGUUUUCUGGUACUGCAACAUCUACCACUAAUGUCUGUGAUCCCUUUGAAUUGGCAAAAUAAGAAUAGUGCUAUAGAUUUCUUCCAAAUACAGAAAACAUAAGUAUGAAAAUGUUCUUGCUGUUGAUUAUAUUCUUUACCAAUCUGUUUGUAUGGGAUUUUUGGUACUUCACUUGAAAAAUGAGUCCAAGGUACUGUGAUGUGAUUGUUUACUUUGUGUGGCCUUUCUAGCCAUGAUCUUAUAACAUCCACCCUGGUGCUUGGGCAGGACUGUGUGAUAGGGUAAUUGUGGCUCACCAAGGGGAUUGUUUAUUUUGCCUUCAAAGAGAACCAGUUCCAGAGCAAAGAGGAGGAUUCAACUCCCAUCAAGGAAGAACAGCCAAGAGCCGAGCAUAUAUUAUGGACCUGAGAUCCCUGCACUGAGAAGCUCCUAGAAGCAGGAGACUGAGAUAGAGAGAGGAAGCUGUAACCCUGAAGAUGCUUAAAUACAGACCAGAAGAGGAGUUUGGGGCUUGACACCUGACAUCUUAACACCAGUUCCUGUUUCUUGAGGAAGGAAGAGGUAAAAUAAAUCAGCGUUUGCUGUUUCCUUCUCCAUCCCCGGAAGUCCUGAUGAAGACCCUCUCAGGUAAGGAUUGACAGGGAGUGGCUUGGUUUACUAUUCAACUUUGUCCUUCAGUAACUUUGUUUAUGUCCUGCAUGUAAACUGUUGUGCAUUGAGAAGCAUUCUAAUUCUUGUGCAGAAGGACUAGACCUCCUGCAGAAUGACUAUAUUGUGCCUCCCUCGGGCACCCCUGUCUGCGCAGCACCCCCCAACGCCAACUGCCCAACCGCCUCUCUCCUGGCAUUCUGCUUCUAGAAGCAUGUUCUUUUGAUGCAGAGAUGCAGCACACACAGAAUCCCAGCUGGAUUACAGACUUGAACCUGAAGACCUUAUGCAGAAUGACAAUUUAUGAACCACUAAGCUCAGUACUAAAGCAGCUUCAACUUGAACGUGAAUAUGAGCAACUGAUCAUCUGUUCUGCAGUCAGCCCCUGCCCUGAUUCUGACUCAUGAUAUUGACCAAGUGAAGAGUGAUUCAGAGAAAAACAUGGAUAGAGUGUGACCUAAUUUCCAUAAAAACAAACAAAUGAAUGUACUUACAUGUGUCCCGGCAAAAAGAAGUGUGUAAAAGGGUACAUAUGUAUCUUUGGACACUGGACACUUCAGGGGAGCAGGUACAAUAUACUUAUGUGGGGAUGGCUCUUAUUAUAACUUCUAUAUACAAAUCUCUAUUGUUAAAUGUGUUAUAAGAAUGUAAAAGCUUUUAAAGUUUAAUAACAUCAUACGUGUAUGUGUGUGUAUUUGAAACUUUUUUUCUUUUGACUAUUUUAUAUAUGUGUUUUUUAGUUAUCUAGUUUUUUUUUUAGUGUGGCUAUAGCAGAGAUACCAAAAGUGGAUGGCUUUAACAAACAGAAACUUAUUCUCUCACAGUUUAAGAAGCAACAAGUUUGAAGUCAGGGCACCAGGUCUAGGAGAAAGCUCUCUCUCUUUGUGGCUCUGGGGGAAGGUCCUUGUCAUCUAUCUUCCCCUGGCCUAGGAAAUUCUCAGCGCGUGGACACUGGGUCAAAAAGACGUGCUCCACUCCAGGCACUUCUUCCUUGGUGGUAUGAGGUCCCUCUCAUUUCCGCUCACUCUUCUCUUUGUAUCUCAAAAGAGACUGACUCAAGACUCACCCUAAUCCUGUAGAUUGUGUCCUCCCUCAUUAACCUAACUGCCUCUAAUCCCGCCUUAUUUACAUCACAGAGGUUAGA